rnacentral:rRNA from 1 species
CUACGGGUGGCUCCAGUGGGGAAUAUUGCACAAUGGGCGCAAGCCUGAUGCAGCCAUGCCGCGUGUAUGAAGAAGGCCUUCGGGUUGUAAAGUACUUUCAGCGGGGAGGAAGGGAGUAAAGUUAAUACCUUUGCUCAUUGACGUUACCCGCAGAAGAAGCACCGGCUAAGUCCGUGCCAGCAGCCGCGGUAAUACGGAGGGUGCAAGCGUUAAUCGGAAUUACUGGGCGUAAAGCGCACGCAGGCGGUUUGUUAAGUCAGAUGUGAAAUCCCCGGGCUCAACCUGGGAACUGCAUCUGAUACUGGCAAGCUUGAGUCUCGUAGAGGGGGGUAGAAUUCCAGGUGUAGCGGUGAAAUGCGUAGAGAUCUGGAGGAAUACCGGUGGCGAAGGCGGCCCCCUGGACGAAGACUGACGCUCAGGUGCGAAAGCGUGGGGAGCAAACAGGAUUAGAUACCCGGGUAGUC